CGCUGGCGGCACGCCUAACACAUGCAAGUCGAACGAAGUAGCAAUACUUAGUGGCAGACGGGUGAGUAACAUGUAGGUAUCUGCCCUUUGGCCUGGAAUAACACGAGGAAACUUGUGCUAAUACCGGAUAAGUCUUUACGGAGAAAGCUUUAUGCACCAUUGGAUGAGCCUGCACUUGAUUAGUUUGUUGGUGGGGUAAUGGCCUACCAAGACUGUGAUCAAUAGCUGAUUUGAGAGGAUGAUCAGCCACAUUGGGACUGAGACACGGCCCAAACUCCUACGGGAGGCAGCAGUGGGGAAUCUUGCACAAUGGAGGAAACUCUGAUGCAGCGAUGCCGCGUGAGUGAAGAAGGCCCUUGGGUUGUAAAGCUCUUUCGUCGGGGAAGAAAAUGACUGUACCCGAAUAAGAAGGUCCGGCUAACUUCGUGCCAGCAGCCGCGGUAAUACGAAGGGACCUAGCGUAGUUCGGAAUUACUGGGCUUAAAGAGUUCGUAGGUGGUUGAAAAAGUUAGUGGUGAAAUCCCAGAGCUUAACUCUGGAACUGCCAUUAAAACUUUUCAGCUAGAGUAUGAUAGAGGAAAGCAGAAUUUCUAGUGUAGAGGUGAAAUUCGUAGAUAUUAGAAAGAAUACCAAUUGCGAAGGCAGCUUUCUGGAUCAUUACUGACGCUGAGGAACGAAAGCAUGGGUAGCGAAGAGGAUUAGAUACCCUCGUAGUCCAUGCCGUAAACGAUGUGUGUUAGACGUUGGAAAUUUAUUUUCAGUGUCGCAGGGAAACCGAUAAACACACCGCCUGGGGAGUACGACCGCA
rnacentral:rRNA from 1 species